rnacentral:rRNA from 1 species
UACGUAGGGGGCAAGCGUUGUCCGGAAUCAUUGGGCGUAAAGAGCGCGUAGGCGGCCCGAUAAGUCCGCUGUGAAAGUCAAGGGCUUAACCCUUGAAUGCCGGUGGAAACUGUCGGGCUAGAGUCCGGAAGAGGCGAGUGGAAUUCCUGGUGUAGCGGUGAAAUGCGCAGAUAUCAGGAGGAACACCGAUGGCGAAGGCAGCUCGCUGGGACGGUACUGACGCUGAGGCGCGAAGGCCAGGGGAGCAAACGGG